CCAUCGCAUUGAUAUUCAUUCUUUUCUCUUCAUCUCCUGCAAACAACAGUAACCGAUGGAACAAAUCUUCCUCUUCUCUCCCAUAAAAGCACUAGACCUGCGUUGUCUCCAUCAUCCUCAUCCCCACCAUAACUGGGGAUGCGGUGCCCCUGCUCUGAUAUGAAUCCCCACAGGCGCCAACACUCCACUUCAUCCCACGCGUCAAUUCAGGAUUUCAGGUUGUGCUCCGCCCGGCUCGAGAGUUCAUCCAUAAAUCUCCCCGCCACCUGAUUUGAUUGGAUUUUGGUUGGAUUAUACAAGCUGCUCGAGAUCCACAAAAUUCGUUGAGAAGCGGCCACCCGCAUCUGAAAUUCGUUGAGGAACACCACGGGUAGAGAUCUGGAAAAUCCGUGCUCUCCGAAUCUCCAAACAUGUUAUAUUUUCAUCAGGAUCGCUGCCACCAUAAGGAACUUUUUUCCGACAGUCUCGUGGUUCAUACAAACCUCGAUUGGGCUGCCAUUUAUAGUGGGAUAAAAGGUCCUCCAAAUUAUGCUAGCUGAAUAACUUCUGUCAACAGCAUACAAUUGGUGCUCUAAGCGCAUGCUUUGUAUUCUUCUUGCAGGUUAAUGUUACAAGUGCAUUAGAAAAAGAAGUAUUCUGCGUUGAUUUUUGUACCAUUGCUCCGGGUUGUGUUACAAAAUGUAUGAAUGUAUUCGCUCAAUACACAAUCUUGGCCAUGAGUCACAAGAAGGUUCUUCAUGUCUGCAUUCUUGCUCAGCUAUGUGCAAUUACCAACUACUGAGCAUAUCUUUUGAGGUCUGAAUCAAGUUUGAUUGACCUUGGCUAUUUCUAUGAAUAUGUAGACAUUAUUUACCCACAGCACUAGCACAACAAUCGUGAUGCUAUCCACCUUUUAUUCAAUUUAGUAUAUUGCAAGAUGCCCUCUUUAUCUUCCAAUUCAGUCAGGUGAUGUUGUACCAUAUAUGAAGACUGCAGAGAAGUCUGUCUUCAGUUCUUUACCAAGGAAUGCAGAGAAGUCAGUCUUCUGUUCUUUACCAAGGAAUGGGAAGAACAUAUUUUCAUAUAAUACUACUGCCAACCACAUUGGAUCUAUGGUCAGUCCAUUGUAUGUUAUAGUAUACUUUAUCUUCAUCCAUUUCUUCAUUGUUGGAAUAAUGAAUCUGUUUAAUUUACUUAUCGUCUUACAUGAGACAGCUUUUAGGGCGGUGCAUACAUCCAGCGAGUGUUCAAAUGCAUAAGUUUAUUUAGCAAGUGCUUAAUCUACUAUACGUACUACCUGUACGAGGUGUCUUAUCGCCAUUGCUUUACCCCUUCAAAUAUAUAGUUAUAUUUUCUCAUUCACUAAUACCCAUCACUUUGUGUGAAUUUUCUGAUGUCACCUUUACAGUAAGACAUGCCAUGGUUAAGGCGUUAUAUUUCUGCCUUGGUGCAUGGACAGAUAAUAGUUUGGUUUUAUUUUUGCGGUGAAAAGCUCUAAUCAAUACUUCUCCUUUGUUUCAGAUGAUAGUAAAAAAAGAAGAAUACUCUGUCUUCGUUCCUGAUGCCGCCAAGUCAUCAAUAAGGAAAUGCCAGAUUGAUGGGCUUCAUUGGUCAAUAGUGAAGUUAAGUGAACAGUAUGGAUGAUCAAUAUACUUUAGAUUUCCUUUUUCCCCAUUACAUUGGCUCUUUUCUAUUUGUUGUCAUACAUAUUGACACCACUUGAAUCAAUGAUAUACUGAAAUUGUUCCCGUCAUUUGACAAGGUUUGUACUGAGUUUUGAAAACGACAUUGUAUUCAAUAAUUUGAGCAAUUGAGAACUAUCAUUCAUGUCAA